rnacentral:sRNA from 1 species
ACAGAACAUGGGGUGCCUGGAAGGGGAACAGAUGUGUUGUGGGGCACAGGGCAGGCUGGGAGGGGAACAAAGGUCCACUCCAUGGGUAACCAGACCCUUCCGCCAGGGCUGGCCACUUCUGCCUUUGGAAAAUGUUUCACAACACCCCAUGUUGUGUGUGUGUGUGAAUUGGCCGAUGUGAAGCGAAUGUUGAUGUAAGAGGCAGGGCGCUCAGCUGCGGAUGGGUAACAGGGCGUGGGCUGGCACACUCACUUGCACCAGUGCCCAGAGAGGGGGUGCAGGCUGAGGAGCUGCCCAGAGCACCGCUCACACUCCCAGAGUACCUGAAGUCGGCAUUUCAAUGACAGGUGACAAGGGUCCCCAAAGGCUAAGCAGGUCCAGCUAUGGCUCCAUCUCCAGCCCGACCAGCCCGACCAGCCCAGGGCCACAGAAAGCACCUCCCAGAGAGACCUACCUGAGUGAGAAGAUCCCCAUCCCAGACACAAAACCGGUGGGAUACUGGAAACUUCCUGGGGGCUUGCAAGAUUGACAAGAUCCUGUGGGAUCCCAUGGGCUGGAGAAUGGGGUCUCCUUAUGAUCAUGGGUGGCAAGUCCCUUCCAGUUCUGAGCAGCAGUGGUGGACAGUGGCAACUGCCCCUUCCUGCUUCCGUCCUCAGUGCUUAGCUGGGGUGCUUCAGUAUUUGUCUAAAAAUGAUUAAAUGGCCUUCUCUAUGAAUCUCAGCUUUCCUAUGAAGGAAAAGAGGCCCGAGGGGAAUUGGGAUUGGAACCUUGAGGACAUGUUUUAGCAUUUAGGAAAGGGCAUAGGGAGAAGUGAAGGAGGCUGCAGGCUGGCAUCUAGCAUCUAGGAUGCUGUCACCUGCAUUUCCAGUAUCUUCUCUUUCUUUGGAAAUGGAGUCUUGCUCUGUAGCCCAGGCUGGAGUGCAGUGGUGCGAUCUCAGCUCACUGCAACCUCUGCCUCCCGAGUUUAAGCGAUUCUCCUGCUCCAGCCUCCCGGGUAGCUGGGAUUACAGGCAUGCACCACCAUGCCAGGCUAAUUUUUGUAUUUUUAGUAGAGACAGGGUUUCACCAUGUUGGCCAGGCUGGUCUCAAACUCCUGAGCUCAAGUGAUCCGCCCACCUCCGCCUUCCAAAGUGCUGGGAUUACAGGCACGAGCCACCGCUCCCAGCCUCCAAUAUCUUCAGCAGAUUUCUAAGUCGAUACACCAUGCCCUGGAACAGGGUAGGGGGACCAUAGCCUCAGCGGACCACAGAGAGGAGGCCCUGUGGUCGGAAAAGGAGCUGGCGAGGGAGGAGCUGGGUUAGGGAGGCUUGGCCCCCUCACCCCCUUAGACAGCCCCCUGUGAGGUCUCUGAGGACCUGACAAGUCAGGGCUUGAGAGGGGCAGGCAGUUCAGGUGCAAGCCGGCUGCUGAGCUUAACAGAUCCAGAAAAAGAUCCUCUGUGACUCAUCAGAGCAUGCUGCUUCCUCCACCCAUGCCCUCCCCAUCCUCUGGGUGGCAGACCCAGGAAAGGGCCAUGGAGGGCAGGGCUGGGCUGAUGAGCCUGUUGGGGCUCCUCUAGGGGAUGGCCAAGGCCAGCUGCCACCAUCCCUAUACCAGGACCCCCUCACUCUACUCCUGUCACCCCCACACAGGGCACCUUCAGCCUGCGGAAGCUAUGGGCCUUCACGGGGCCUGGCUUCCUCAUGAGCAUUGCUUUCCUGGACCCAGGAAACAUCGAGUCGGAUCUUCAGGCUGGCGCCGUGGCGGGAUUCAAAGUAACUAAGUCGGGACCUGAGUGGGGACACUUUCGAGAGGGAGGUGACCAGGCUAAGUGUUGAAGGCCCCUGCUGGCCAUGUUUCUCCAGUGUGGCCUGGGAGCUGGUGUUAAAUUCAAAUGGGCCCGAAAAGGGUCCCCAGGGCAGCCCUGCCAGAAGGUGGGGCAUUUGUGUGGGGGGUAGGGGACUGGACUCCUCUCUAAAAAAUAUGUAUAUUUAUUUAUUUAUUUAAUUUUAUUUUUUGAGACAGAGUCUCACUCUGUCGCCCAGGCUGGAGUGCAGUGGCACAAUCUCGGCUCACUGCAACCUCUGCCUCCUGGGUUCAAGUGAUUCUCCUGCCUCAGCCUCCUGAGUAGUACAUGCCACCAUGCCCAGCUAAUUUUUGUAUUUUUAGUAGAGAUGGGGUUUCACUAUGUGGGCCAGGCUGGUCUUGAACUCCUGACCUCAAGUGAUCCACCCGCCUUGGCCUCCCAAAGUGCUGGGAUUACAGGUGUGAGCUACCUUGUCUGGCGUAAUUUAUUUAUUUAUUUAGAGAUGGGGUCUCACUAUGUUGCUCAGGCUGCUCUUGAACUCCUGGACUCAAGCAAUCCUCCCACCUUAGCCUUUUAAAGUGCUGGGAUUACAGGCGUGAGCUACCAGCGCCCAGCCAGGAUGGGACUCCAUCUCUCCCACCCCCUCCCUGAGGAGUGUCCUUGGUUAGAGGGUACCACAAGCUCAGGGGCUUUCUGAGGCUGGCCUCUCUGGCUGAAGGCCUCUCCCUGCCUCCUCACAGCUUCUCUGGGUGCUGCUCUGGGCCACGGUGUUGGGCUUGCUCUGCCAGCGACUGGCUGCACGUCUGGGCGUGGUGACAGGCAAGGACUUGGGCGAGGUCUGCCAUCUCUACUACCCUAAGGUGCCUCGCACCGUCCUCUGGCUGACCAUCGAGCUAGCCAUUGUGGGUUCCGACAUGCAGGAAGUCAUCGGCACGGCCAUUGCAUUCAAUCUGCUCUCAGCUGGACGAAUCCCACUCUGGGGUGGCGUCCUCAUCACCAUCGUGGACACCUUCUUCUUCCUCUUCCUCGAUAACUAUGGGUUGCGGAAGCUGGAAGCUUUUUUUGGACUCCUUAUAACCAUUAUGGCCUUGACCUUUGGCUAUGAGUAUGUGGUGGCGCGUCCUGAGCAGGGAGCGCUUCUUCGGGGCCUGUUCCUGCCCUCGUGCCCGGGCUGCGGCCACCCCGAGCUGCUGCAGGCGGUGGGCAUUGUUGGCGCCAUCAUCAUGCCCCACAAUAUCUACCUGCACUCGGCCCUGGUCAAGUCUCGAGAUAUAGACCGGGCCCGCCGAGCGGACAUCAGAGAAGCCAACAUGUACUUCCUGAUUGAGGCCACCAUCGCCCUGUCCGUCUCCUUUAUCAUCAACCUCUUUGUCAUGGCUGUCUUUGGGCAGGCCUUCUACCAGCAAACCAACCAGGCUGCGUUCAACAUCUGUGCCAAGAGCAGCCUCCACGACUACGCCAAGAUCUUCCCCAUGAACAACGCCACCGUGGCCGUGGACAUUUACCAGGGGGGCGUGAUCCUGGGCUGCCUGUUCGGCCCCGCGGCCCUCUACAUCUGGGCCAUAGGUCUCCUGGCGGCUGGGCAGAGCUCCACCAUGACGGGCACCUACGCGGGACAGUUCGUGAUGGAGGCUGGAGUGCAAUGGCGCGAUCUCCGGCUCACCGCAACCUCCGCCUCCUGGGUUCAAGCAAUUCUCCUGCCUCAGCAUCCUGACCAGCUGGGAUUACAGGCCACCACACCCAGCUAAUUUUGUAUUUUUAGUAAAGACGGGGUUUCUCCAUGUUGGUCAGGGUGGUCUCGAACUCCCAGCCUCAGGAGAUCUGCCCGCCUCGGCCUCCCAAAGUGCUGGAAUUACAGGCGUGAGCCACCGCGCCUGGCUCUUUCUUUCUUUUUUGAGGCAGGAUUUCACUCUGUUGCUCAGGGUGGAGUGCAAUGGCACCAUCACAGCUCGCUGCAGCCUCAACUUCAGCCUCCCGAGUCAUUGGGACUACAGGCUCAUGCCACCACACCAGGCUAAUUUUUAAAAUUAUUUGUAGAGAUGUGGUCUUCCUAUGUUUCCCAGGCUGGUCUCGAACUCCUGGGCUCAAGUGAUCUUCCCGCCUUGGCUUCCCAAAGUGCUGGGAUUACAGACGUGAGCCACCCCACUCAGCUUUUGUUUCCUUCAUGUCGCCCAGAGGGCGACACUAUAAGCCCCAUUUUACAGAUGAGAAAACUGAGAUCCUGACAGAUGAGGUGACUUGCUGGAAGCUGCAGACACAGGACUAACAGAAGCCUUUUCCCCAAAACUGUUUAGUCUUCAGCAACCAGCUAUGGGAUGGGAGCUCCCAAUUUCUCCCCACCCAUCCCCUCUUGCCACCUAGGGACAGAGCUGCCCCCAGUUCAACAGUGGAAAAACAGAGCAUGCCCCCAGGGAUAAGUCAGUUGAGGGACUACAGAGGAUCUCUCCUCUGGAAUCCCCAGUCCUGUCUACUCCUCACCAAGGAGCUCCCCCCCACCCCAGGGCUUCCUGAGGCUGCGGUGGUCACGCUUCGCCCGAGUCCUCCUCACCCGCUCCUGCGCCAUCCUGCCCACCGUGCUUGUGGCUGUCUUCCGGGACCUGAGGGACUUGUCGGGCCUCAAUGAUCUGCUCAACGUGCUGCAGAGCCUGCUGCUCCCGUUCGCCGUGCUGCCCAUCCUCACAUUCACCAGCAUGCCCACGCUCAUGCAGGAGUUUGCCAAUGGCCUGCUGAGCAAAGUCAUCACCUCUUCCAUCAUGGCACUAGUCUGCGCCAUCAACCUCUACUUCGUGGUCAGCUACCUGCCCAGCCUGCCCCACCCUGCCUACUUCGGCCUUGCAGCCCUGUUGGCCACAGCCUACCUGGGCCUCAGCACCUACCUGGUCUGGACCUGUUGCCUUGCCCACGGAGCCACCUUUCUGGCCCACAGCUCCCACCACCACUUCCUGUAUGGGCUCCUUGAAGAGGACCAGAGAGGGGAGACCUCUGGCUAGGCGCACACCCCGGGCCUGGCUGGGAGUGGCAUGGAUGACGUGACUGGCCUGCUGGAUGUGGAGGGGGCGCGUGCAGGCAGCAGGAUGGAGUGGGACAGUUUCUAAGACCAGCCAACCUGGGGGCUUUAGGGACCUGCUAUUUCCUAGCACAGCCAUGUAAUUAACCUCUGGGUCUCAGUGUCCUCAUCUGUAAAAUGGAGACAACACCACCCUUGCCAUGGAGGUUAAGCACUUUAACACAGUACCAGGCACUUGGGACAAAAACAAACAAACAACAUUUCAAAAGGUAUUUAUUGAGCACCUGCAGGCGUGACCUGACAGCCCAAGGGCAGGUGGGGUGAGAGCUUGGGGACUUGGGCGGGACACAGGCUCCAAACUGGAGCUUGAAAUAGUGUCUGAUGAAUGUUAAAUUAUCUAUCUAUCUAUUUAUUUAUUUAUUUGAGACAGGGAAAGGGUCUCCCUCUGUCGCCCAGGCUGGAGUGCAGUGGCGCAAUCUUGAUUCAUUGCAACCUCCACCUUCUGGGUUCCAGCGAUUCUCUUUAUUCAGCCCCGGGAGUGGCGCGCGCCACCACGCCCAGCUAAUUUGUGUAUUUUCAGCAGAGACGGGGUUUGCCAUGCUGGCCAGGCUGGUCUCGAACUGCUGGAUUCAAGUGAUCCGCCCACCUCCGCCUCCCAAAGUCCUGGGAAUUACAGGCGUGAGCCACCAAACCCGGCCUGAUUAAAGUUAAAUAAAUACUAGUUCCCUUCUCGUCCAAAGGAGCGGGGAAUGGGAACCAGGAGGGCACGAAGUCUCUAAAGCAUCCGGAAGACCCUUACACCAGGGUCUGGUCCGCUCCUAUUCGCCGCAGCCUUUCUGUUCCGCCUGCAACCCAUUUUCCAGACAGUAAAACGGCGGCGCACUUCUUUCUCCGUCAGGCACCAAGUCAUAAGGAACCCAAGAGUCUGUGCCUCUGAGGCCCAAAUUAUUUGCUGUUUCCUCAGGCGAGCCG